ensembl:lncRNA
AACAGACCCAAAAACCAGUCGGAUCCCAGGGGUUGUUUUGGAAUUCUUUUUAAUUUUUUCGUGCUUUGUAUCUUUCCCCUAUAAAGAAUAGUUAGCUAUACAUCAACAGUUACGCAUGAGACUCUGAACCAAACGGGAGUGAAGGACAGGAGAAGAGACGACUAGGCACAGAAGACGAAGAGAGAGGAAAGGUAAGAGUGAAAAAAGACAGCAAUUUCUCUACAGUGGAACGGAAAACAAACCAUGGGAAGUGUACGUUUCUUUAACAUUUACAAUUGUAAUAAUACCAACGGCCAUAAUAAUAACAUUAACAACAAUCAGAAUUGUUCAAAUAAUAACAAUUGAUAAAAAAUCCAUUAAACCUCUGGUUUCUCAUAAAGACAAAUGACAUUUUUUUUUUUUUAUUCUUUUCUUUAUUUUCUUUAAAGAUCACUGGACAGGUUUGUUCGGCUUUGCACCUCUAUAGGCUAAUAUUCUGUGUUAGUAUAUUUGCUUCAUAAUGCGUUUCAAUAGUAAACUUUUUUUUUUUUCUUAAAAGAUUCAUUUAAUUUAUGUUGCUGCUCUUUUUUUUUUAUACAAAUACGGCGUUCAGAGAUGUGUAUGCUGCCUGCUGCGUGUAUAAAUGUGUCGACAUGUGUGGUAGCGUUCAGAAAAAAAAACAUCCACCCAUUUCAGUUCCUAAUUCAUUCACUCCCCUUGCCCUUCUUAAGACUUUUAAACCUUUUUAUCCUCUUAAUGACAUUCUAAAAUAAUUAAGCUCUUCUUUAAUGCCUCGGCAAGUCAUAUUCCUUUCUUCCUCGUCGGGAACGCAGCCCAACACUAAUCCUUUCAUUAACAGGAGCCAACAAAGGAGGGGAGAUAGCGGGGGGGGGAGACGGGGAGGCAGGAGGGGAUGGUAACAGGUGAGCGGAGGGAGGAGACGGAGACCUAAUUGAAAGAAAGGAGAAACCGUUCGCGAGAUAAAAUCCUGAAAGGGGAUUUUUCACAAACGGUCGGUGGGCCACCUAGCACGCGCGUCUCGUCCGCCAAGUCUGGAUGGCUUGUCAGAGGACUAACUGGGAUACUUUGGCCGUUUUCAAAAUUUAAAUUUUCUAGCUCUCAAUAGCUCUCGAAACCGCCUCCGCCGGCUAUCGACUGAAUCCACCGCGGCGGUCGGACAGGCCGCUUUUCUCUGCGCUCCCUUUCGUCCCCUUCGACCCCAGAGAAUAAUUAUGGCAUCAUUUCCCCCCCUGACUCGCUCGCUUCCCUCAGUCUCCCCGAACUCAGAGUAUAAUGGCACCGCCGUCGAUGGCUGGUGGGUCUAUAGGCUCUUUUCCUCAGUCCGUCGCUCGGUGUGUGCGUGUGUGCGUGUGUGUGACAUGAAGUGGAAUUGAGCGGCUGUGAUCGCCUGUGUGUGGUAUCUGUGUACAGUCGUUUCUAGAAGGCUGCUUAGUGUGUGUGUGUGUGUGUGUGGUU